CGCCAUUCUUGGUUUGUUCUUUUUUUUUUUCCUCACAAGAAAAUCUGUGGCGUCCUGUGACUUUUACAGAUUACGAGUUUUAACUCAUUUUUUUUUUCACAUCGUCCAGAACACGCAAAACCGCCCAGGUACACGCCAAUGGAAAGGCUGUUACAACAGGUGACAGUUGCGAGACAGUACUUGACCGAGGAGUAUGGCAAAGAUGUGUUUCCUCCAUUCUCGUUGAAAGAUUGUCUCAAAGGCGAAUGAUCGCAGGACAUACUCCGAAGUUUCCUAGGUGAAGGAUAAUGCUAAACAUUGUCAUGUAAAUACAGAAAGGCUUUUGCUUCUCAAUGUCAUCUCCAUUGUCUUCAACUCCAGCAAAGAUGAAUAAAAGGUUACUCAUACAUGGCUAGAGACGGUUUUGGUUUUUGGUGUGGCAGGAGAUCAAUUUUGUUGAAGACCAGUUCUGUUUGGUUCGGUUUUGUAGCAGAAGAUUGUAAUCCAUGUUCUUGGAAAACUCAUUUCUCUUUGUAAUGAUCGUUUAUGUAACACAUAACUUGAAGAUACUUUGCAGACUUAAGUCACUUAACAAGCUUCAAAUCCAAAACCAAGCGAGGGACGAUUCAAUAACAAACAUAACAAAAACCAAAGAAUUUGAAUAUGGUUAAUAAAAAGACUACAGACAAAGGCUUCACUAACAACUUCUAAAGGUGUCUUGUUUUUAACUCUUUUAAGAAUGUAAUAAAUCCCAUGAGCCUCUGAUCAG